rnacentral:rRNA from 1 species
UGGGGAAUAUUGGACAGUGGGCGAAAGCCUGAUCCAGCCAUGCCGCGUGUGUGAAGAAGGUCUUCGGAUUGUAAAGCACUUUAAGUUGGGAGGAAGGGCAUUAACCUAAUACGUUAGUGUUUUGCCGUUACCGACAGAAUAAGAACAGGCUAACUCUGUGCCAGCAGCCGCGGUAAUACAGAGGGUGCAAGCGUUAAUCGGAAUUACUGGGCGUAAAGCGCGCGUAGGUGGUUUGUUAAGUUGGAUGUGAAAUCCCCGGGCUCAACCUGGGAACUGCAUUCAAAACUGACUGACUAGAGUAUGGUAGAGGGUGGUGGAAUUUCCUGUGUAGCGGUGAAAUGCGUAGAUAUAGGAAGGAACACCAGUGGCGAAGGCGACCACCUGGACUAAUACUGACACUGAGGUGCGAAAGCGUGGGAAGCAAACA